CCUCAACCGUUCGCCAGGGUACUACGAGCAUUAGCUUAAAACCCAAAGGACUUGGCGGUGCUUUAGACCCCCCUAGAGGAGCCUGUUCUAGAACCGAUACUCCCCGUUAAACCUCACCCUUCCUUGUUUUACCCGCCUAUAUACCGCCGUCGUCAGCUUACCCUGUGAGGGCCCAAUAGUAAGCACAAUUAGACUACCUCAAAACGUCAGGUCGAGGUGUAGCGAAUGGAAGGGGAAGAAAUGGGCUACAUUCCUUAAUUAUAAGGAAUACGAACGGUGCAGUGAAACCUGUGCCAGAAGGAGGAUUUAGCAGUAAGCAGGAAGCAGAGAGUCCUACUGAAGUCGGCUCUAAAGCGCGCACACAC
rnacentral:rRNA from 1 species